UUUCCGUAGGUGAACCUGCGGAAGGAUCAUUAAAGAGUAAGGGUCUUCGGGCCCGAUCUCCAACCCCUUGUUUAACUACCAUGUUGCUUUGGCGGGCCCGUCUCACGACCGCCGGAAGUUUGGCUUCGACCAAACUUCUGGCCCGUGCCCGUCAGUGGCCCCUUCAAAUUCUUGAUCAAGUAUGAUGUCUUAGUUAAAAACUUAAUAGUUAAAACUUUCAACAACGGAUCUCUUGGUUCUG
rnacentral:misc_RNA from 1 species